rnacentral:rRNA from 1 species
CAUGCAGUCGCGCGUCGAAGCCGGUUUCGGCCGGUGGAAAGCGGCGGACGGGUGAGAAACACGUAGGAACCUGCCUAGAAGUGGGGGACAACCCCGGGAAACCGGGGCUAAUACCGCAUAUGGUCCACGGACCAAAGCCUUCGGGCGCUUCUGGAGGGGCCUGCGGCGGAUUAGCUAGUUGGUGGGGUAACGGCCUACCAAGGCGACGAUCCGUAGCUGGUCUGAGAGGACGGUCAGCCACACUGGGACUGAGAUACGGCCCAGACUCCUACGGGAGGCAGCAGCAAGGAAUUUUCCGCAAUGGGCGCAAGCCUGACGGUGCAACGCCGCGUGGAGGAAGACGGCUUUCGAGUUGUAAACUCCUUUUGCGAGGGAAGAAGAUCUGACGGUACCUCGCGAAUAAGCCACGGCUAACUACGUGCCAGCAGCCGCGGUAAUACGUAGGUGGCAAGCGUUGUCCGGAUUCACUGGGCGUAAAGCGCGCGCAGGCGGGCUGAUAAGUCCCGGGUUAAAUCCCACGGCUUAACCGUGGGCAGCCCCGGGAUACUGUCAGUCUUGAGGCAUCCAGAGGAGAGUGGAAUUCCCGGUGUAGUGGUGGAAUGCGUAGAUAUCGGGAGGAACACCAGUGGCGAAAGCGGCUCUCUGGGGAUGUCCUGACGCUGAGGCGCGAAAGCGUGGGGAGCGAACCGGAUUAGAUACCCGGGUAGUCCACGCCGUAAACGAUGAGUACUAGCUGUCGGGGGUGUCGACUCCCUCGGUAGCGUAGCUAACGCGUUAAGUACUCCGCCUGGGGACUACGGCCGCAAGGCUAAAACUCAAAGGAAUUGACGGGGGCCCGCACAAGCAGCGGAGCGUGUGGUU